rnacentral:misc_RNA from 1 species
CAAAAAAAAAAAAAAAAAAACAAUGAUGAGCAUUAUGUAUUUCAAAAGAAAGAGCACAAAAAGUCCAAACCUUUCUCAACAGAAACCCGAACCAUUGGGUUGAAUUCUUUCAGAGAAUUGCAACAAAGCUCAGCAAGUGUUUUCCCAGCAUACACAUUCUCAUUAGGUGGUAUCAAAAAGUUUGAAGAUAAUGCAUCUUCAGUCACA